GUCAGGAUGGCCGAGUGGUCUAAGGCGCCAGACUCAAGAUUUGUUGGCGAGGGUUCAAAUCCCUCUUCUGACA